UUAUGUUCUGCCUUAAGGAUUGUGUUGGCAAACCGAGUCUUCAACAUUGCAACCCUAGCAGCCCUUCUCGGAGACAGAUUGUGAUUGAUCUCUUGAUUCGAUGCAGAGGUGGCUUUGACAGGAGAGGCACGACAGAGAUGAUGGCGUAGAACUGUGACUGGUGUUUCACAGCAACUUUGGGAUUGGGAUGAAGAAACCUCACAAGAAGUUGAUGGGGUACAGGGAAGGCCAUGAUCACCACCUUCAAGUUCCUUGUUCAAACCCAAAGCACCUUCAAAUUUCCUCUUCACACCCAACCCAUAAUCAACUUUAUUUUUCUUGGAAGCCAAGCCACCAUCCACAUUCUUCUUCAAACCAUCUUCAAGUUUCCUCUUCAAGCCCAAUUUACCACCAUAACCGCUAAGACCGUGUACGUCAAUAUCGGCCAUCUUAGUUAAGAUCGUUUCCCUCUUUACCCUCUUGCUUUCUUGACCCACAAACCACGUUUCAAUGUCGGAAUCGAAGUCGGAAAGCGGUGGAAUUGGGUUUUUCAGAGGGCCGCUGACAACUUUCCUUGAAGAAGAGAAAGUUGAGGAAGACGAGAACGGGUUAGUCUUAGCAUGACCAAUCAUUACAUUCACAGAAGUCUUCGUUUUCAAUGGUUUGCACGGUUGAUUUGAGAGAAUGCUCUCAACCCAGGCUUUGGUGGUACCAGAGAAACGCAUGUUGAAUUUGAAUGAGAUAGAAGAAAGUGAGCAAGUAAGGAAUUAAGGGAGAUAGACAGAGAAAUAUAGAACCCUAACCCUAAACGCCUAUAGAGAGUGAAUUGAUGAAGAGAGUAAAUGCAAGCCAAGUGAAGUGAGUUGAUGAGAAAUGAAAAAUGAGUCUGUAAGACAUAGGGAGAGUUAAUCCUUAGUUGAUUAGGAAACCCAAAUGUAUAUAAUAAAUUUUUGCGUAUAACCUAACCCAAGCAACUGAAAAAACUAAAACCCCAGCUGUCCUAAACUCAUUACCACCGCCUCUCUCUUCUCCUCUUUUAAGUCUUUUUCAGAGAAUUUUUUUUUUCUUUCUUUUUUUGGGUCAAAGUCAAAUACGUUUGACAAAGUUUUUCGUAUAAAAAAAUUUCAUUUGUUUCCCUUAUCUAAAUUUUUUUAUAAAGAUAAUCUUACAUAUAUGUAAUAAAGAAAAACACUCAAAAUACCAUAGAAUGCCCUUUGUUCAUAUACAAAUUAAAAAAUAAAAUUAUUAAUGAAAUGAGGAUAAUAUAGUAAUUUUAUUUUCAUAUUAAAAAUAAAAUAAAAUAAUGAAUCCUAUUUUUAUGAAACAAAACUACCCAUUUUAUCUUUUUUAUUUCUAAAAUAAAAAAACAAUAAGAAAGAGUGUGUGCCAAGAGUCUAGUAAAAAUUGUGGACGAACAUUUUUGAAAGAUAUUCAUUCACUUGGUUGGGCACACACAAUAACAAACAUAAAUAUGUUUAUUACAUGCUUAAUUCAUAAACAGAUUAAUCAAUUCAUAAUAAUACCUACAAAUAAAAAUAUUUAAUAUGAUUGCCUUUCAAAUUAGGGACAAAUCCUAAGAAUUGGUUCAUGAAGCGAAUGAACAUAAUUUAUGCCACAGUCCAUCUUUCUACUAUUUUCUAUCUAUUUUUGUCUUCUUUUUAUUUUUUUAUUUAUUUUAUUUAUUUUCUCUCUUAUUUUCUCUCAUGGUCAAUGGUCCAUGGUGGAACGACCUCGUCAGCCUUGAUUACUUGGGGACUAGGGAUCGAUGUCCUUGCCUAGAAAUUAAUGUAAAGGUCAAGUCUGCCCUUGGUCACAUUAAUUAUGUUAAUUAAGUAUUCAUUUAAUUAGCUAAUUAAUGAGGCCUAAAGUAAAGUUUAUCUCCACAAAUCAAGGAGUAACGGAAUCAUUCAAUUUCCAUGAUUUCAUCUAUCUCCUUCGAUAAAGGGAUAAUUCCUUGAAUAAUUUGGCUACAAGAUAAUUCCCCUAUCUAUAGGCAAGGAUAAUCAUUCCCCUAUCAUCAUCAGAAAUGUUGGAUAAGAUGUUUCUAUUAAAUUAAGAUGUUUCUAGGAGUUUCCAUUUAAUUUGGUGGGAUUUGAAAUACGUCAUGAGCUAUAUAUGGAAUUGUUUUUUUACAAAAUUAGUUAAAUACCCAUUCCUAGACAUAAAACUAUAAAAAUACCCUAUACUAUUUAAUGUAUAUAAACACACCCAAAAUAAACCCAAAAAUCGACAGCUGUAUAUUUUUUAAUUUAAUUAUUAAGAUGAAAUACCUUUAUUACCUUUUUAACAUAAAAUUGGAAUUCUAAUCAACACCAGAUUAGAACUCAUUACACGACCUCCAGUCUCUCAUCUUUAUCUUCAACCCCAAUUUUCAGUUUUUGUUCUUCCACUUCAAUCUCAUCAUUGUUCUUCCACCUCAGUUUUUGUUCAAUCUCUUCAUUCUAAGCUUCGUUGGAGGGCUCGCCUGGGCCACCAACAAUGAUGCACUGGAGAAGGCCUUUCUCCAUUUGGUGAGAUCAUCGAAUCGCAGGGUCGUUCGACCUUUACUACUUGAUCUUCUGUUUCUCUAUGUUACUUGAUCUUUCUUUCCCAAAGAUUGAAGAUCGAUAGAUUCCUUUUCAUUUUUUGUUUAUUAUUGUGUAUUUGUUUGAUUAUACUCUGACGUUUUCGUUUUGACGGACGACUCUGAUUUGAUUUGGUUUCUUUUUGUGUUUCUAGAUCAUCAACGACCGUGAGACUGGGAGGUCCAGGGGCUUCGGCUUCGUCACCUUCAGCAAUGAGAACGCCAUGAGAGAUGCCCGAAGGCAUGAACGACCAGAACUUCGACGGUCGUAACAUACCGUAAAUGAGGCCUAGUCUUGUGGAAGCUAAAAUGAAAUGUUGUAAUAUGUAUGUGUCUACAUGUAUUGUAUUUUCAGCUGUGGAUAAGGAAUUUUUGGGAUUUUAGAUUUGCUGGCCAAGUUUCCUCUAAAUUCUAUAAAGAUGAAGCAGCCAUUCUGUAUGCAACCUUGGGAUUCUUCUCCAAAGAUUGUCAAGAAACUGUUCAAGGUAUGUGAAUUUCAAACUGUUGGAGGCCUGAUUUUGUUAAGUUCUUUUACAAAUAUAGGACAUCGUUCGUGAAAGAUGUCAUAUGCUCUAUCUAUUAUUGCAUUUGCUUUUUCAUAUUUAUGAGGUCUGUUUUCUUAUUCAUGAUUAUACGACCUCUAAAAGCUUGGAAUAAUUAUUUUGUGCUAGCUAAUACUGCCUAAUGGUCUCUCAUUACUCUUACCAUUCUUUUUCGUCUACGCUCUCAUUGCAUAGAUUGAAGUCAUAGGUUGUUCUUGCAGAGAUGUUAUGAGAUUUGAUUAUCAACACAUCUGUAUUCUGCAAGUUAAGUGCUAUCCAAAUUCCAAAAGGACGACCUUGGCUUUGAAAAGUGGAAAAAUUGUCUGUAUACUAUGGGUAAUGGGUUAGUUAGGUUCUGGGUCACAGUAAAAAACAAGCCAGAAACUUCAAGCAUAGAAGAGUUGAUUGCAAACCGUGCAUCAAUUUGGCAAGUAGAGCUUUGCCAUCUGUUAUGUGAAUGGGAGGGGUUCAUUUGUCCAAUACAUUCCCAUAUUCCAAUUGGGUUGUAGCUUUGUCCAAUCAAUCUCAUGGCUUCGUAGGUGGUUCCACCAUUUUAGUCCAACAAAUGAAAAAUUGAGACUUCAAUGGGUAAUCAAAACCCCAACUCUUGCUUCCCAUUUUGAUCAUUAACUGCAUUAAGAGCUUAGAACUGAAGAGACAUUACAGAAUCAAAAUACCCUUUUGUUAAAUGUAAAUGCACUUAAUAUUUUGAGUUGAUUUAAUUUCUCUGGAAGAAACUUGGAUUUUUGUUGUACUCUUGUCUAACCCAAGUUAACUUUAACUGUUUUGUUUCAAGUUACUUUCAUUGUCAAAAACUUUCAUUAUAAGGAAUGAAUGAAUGAAUGAAUUAUAUAUACUUUUCAUAAAAAUUCCUGAAAUAUUCAGUUCAAAAUCAAUGAUCACUAUACACAAUUUCACCUAACAGUAAGCGACCAAAAUCGAUUGUUUUGGUCCCAGAAAUUAACAUGUGGAAGUCUCUCAUGGUUUUGAAGUUAUCUUCAAUAACCACAUGUUUCUCCAUCUCUUCGAGGGCAAGGCGAGCAGCUUCUCUAUCCCUCUGCCGCUGCUUUUUGAUGAACUCAUUGGCUCUCAUAAUUUCUGCUUCUGCAUCUCCAAGCCUCUCGUUCUUGGUUUCGGUGGUAAUUGUUGUAGUGUAGAGAGCACUGUUAUGUUCUGCCUUAAGGAUUGUGUUGGCAAACCGAGUCUUCAACAUUGCAACCCUAGCAGCCCUUCUCGGAGACAGAUUGUGAUUGAUCUCUUGAUUCGAUGCAGAGGUGGCUAUGACAGGAGAGGCACGACAGAGAUGAUGGCGUAGAACUGUGACUGGUGUUUCACAGCAACUUUGGGAUUGGGAUGAAGAAACCUCACAAGAAGUUGAUGGGGUACAGGGAAGUUCCUUGUUCAAACCCAAAGCACCUUCAAAUUUCCUCUUCAC
rnacentral:lncRNA from 1 species